rnacentral:misc_RNA from 1 species
GGGACUGAUACUAUCCAGGAUUUUCAACAUUAACGAAUAAUAUUUAUGUUAUUUUGUUUUUUUAAAAAACAAAUUGCCUCACAGUAUAAAAGUAAUCAAUAGGUCCAAAACUACUGCCUAUGUUGGUAUAUUGUUUAACAAUUGUUAAAAAUAUAUAUACAAAAAUAGAGAGAGUGAGAGACAGGCAGAAUGAUAGACACACAUGUACUAUAUAUAUAUAUAUGCAUUGAGAGAGAGAGAGAGAGAGAAAGAGAGUAUAUGCUGGUAUUUUAAAUUAUAUUGAUAAUAGAGUACAGUUCGUACUGCUGUAAUUUGGGCGCUGCAACAUAUUUUUUUGAUAGAGAUACGUCUACACAUCUACAUUUAAAUAUAUCGUUGUAUCCUUAAUUAUUAUAAAUCUCUUCAAACUUGGACUAUUUCUUUGUAUGCAAGUUUUAAAUAUUAUUUUGCUUUUAUAUUCUCUAUCUAAACUUUAUUUCUCUUUUAGUUAGUUCCUCACGGGAACCUUUCAAUCAUUCAUUCAUUCGUUCAUUCGUUAAUUUCUCUCUUCCUCUAUUCCCUCUUCCAUAAGUAUUUUCCCACAAAUAUAAACAUGGAAAAUAGUGAUUUAAGACUUAAUAUUGUUAUGCUUGGAGAUACAAAUGUUGGAAAAUCAUGUUUAUUAACAAGAUUUAUUAAACAAAGAUUCAUUGAAAAAAUACCUUUUAAAGCUAUUGAAUAUCAGACAAUACCUUUAAUUAGUUUUAACAAAGUUGUUACUUUGCAAAUAUGGAAUUUUAUGGGUAAUAAGGAUUAUCAAAAAACUAUUCCAUCCCACUAUUAUUCUAAGGCUGACGGAUUUAUUGUUGUGUACGAUAUUACGUCUGAUCAGAGUUUUCUAAAUGCAAGAACUCUCUGGAUGUCUCAGGUGUUAAAAAAUGCUCAAUACUCUUAUAAAGUCCUAGUUGGUAAUAAAUGCGAUCUUACUAUAAAUAGAAGUGUUAGUCAGCUGACAGCAAAGGUAAGUUAAUGACCUGAAAUACGAUUCUAUCUAAUUUACAAAUAAUAAAAUACAUAUUCCAUAAGCAAUUCUCCGAAAUUGUCGGUGUGGAAAAUAUUGAAACGUCUGCAAAAUCUGGAAUGAACGUUGAAAAUUUAUUUCUAAGUCUAGUCGAUAAAAUUACGGAGAAGAAGUUAUGCAACAUUGGAAAUGAUGAAACAGAUAUCGUACAAUUCUCUAGUGAUAAAUCAAAACUCUUACCAAGACAAACAAGAAGACUGUAAUCUGCUAGCUUGUGUUAUCUCUCUAUGCCUCUCUCUUCUCUAAUCUGUUUUUGGUAUUAGUUUGCUAAAGCUGCCAAAGACGAAGAAAAAGUAAAGAAACCUUUUUGAAAAUUGUUCUCCUAUUCAAGUGUUGUUUAUUACAUUAUUGUAUCAACUAACCUUCUAUACAUAAACUGCAUAUACACAUGAUAUAAAUAAUAUACUGUUGAUAUAUUUAGACAAGCUGCUUACCUAAAUAAGCAUUGUAUAUAUAAAUAUCUUUAUCUCUCCAGGUAAUUUCUUGGUAUGUUACCUUCUAGUUAAAUUAAAAUACAAAAGCUCAUCUUCUGAGAAAGAAACUUUUUAUUGCGAUUAUCAUUCGAAAAGAAGGAGGAAACCCUUCUUUUAUUCCAUUUUUUAUGAUGAAUUUUUGUUAGUAUUAUUCCCUUUCUUUCUUUCUUAUAUUGUUUUCUCUAUUUAAAUCGAUAUAGCGGUCGUUUAUAUCUUAUAUCUCUUUGUCAUAUCCUGUAUUCUUUUCUCCUGUUUUGUUUGUUUAUAUAUAAAGUAUUUAUACAUAAA